CAUCUUUUAGUCUCCCAGAAAGACUGGAACCAGUGAUGAGUUCCAUGAAGACAAAGACCUGUUUAUCUUGUUCUGCUCCAGCACCGAGCAGGUGCAGUGGCUUAUGCCUGUUAUCCCAGAACUUUGGGAGGCUGAGUCAGGAGGAUCACUUGAGGCCAGUUCAAGACCAGCCUGGGAAACAUAGCAAGAGCCUGUCUCUAUUGGGAGAAAAAAAAAAGCAACAGCGACGAGGCCCGAGGUGCAGCUGUCUCGCCUCGCCUGUCUUUUGCAGGCACCGGCAUGCACGAAGAUGGCUCUCCGGGAGGAAGAUUCCUUUCCAUUUUGUUCGCUCCCUGCCUCCGCAAGGUUCCCAGCCACCUCUAGGGAGUGCAGGGCCAGAUCCUGUGCCAGCGGCCUUGCUUGAAUGGCUUCUUGACGGUUACUGCUCCAGUUUUGCUGAGUCAGAAGAAUCCCACAGCCGCUCACCGGAAACACAGCUGUUGGGCAAAAAUAACCACAGAGCUGAGCAUCAUGCACCUUCCAGAAAAGAUGGCAGAAAACCUCAAAACAAAAGAGAAAUACAAAACAAUAGGAGACACUGUCAAGAAAAAAAAAAA
rnacentral:sRNA from 1 species